rnacentral:tRNA from 1 species
GCCUUCGUGGUGUAGUGGUCAAAACGCUCGGUUCGUAUUCGAGAGGCUUGUGGUUCGAGUCCCGGUGAGGGCA